AUUGAACGCUGGCGGCAGGCAUAACACAUGCAAGUCGAGCGGAGCGGCGGACGGGUGAGUAAUGCCUAGGAAUCUGCCUGGUAGUGGGGGAUAACGUCCGGAAACGGGAGCUAAUACCGCAUACUAUCGACUGAACCCAUAUGGGAUUAGAGUGUAGGUGGGGUAAAGGCUCACCUAGGCGACGGUCUCUAUCCGGUCUGAGAGGAUGAUCAGCCACACUGGGACUGAGACACGGCCCAGACUCCUACGGGAGGCAGCAGUGGGGAAUAUUGGACAAUGGGCGCAAGCCUGAUGCAGCCAUGCCGCGUGUAUGAAGAAGGCCUUCGGGUUGUAAAGUACUUUCAGCGGGGAGGCGUUAUCCGCAGAAGAAGCACCGGCUAACUCCGUGCCAGCAGCCGCGGUAAUAC
rnacentral:rRNA from 1 species